GUUAAAAAGCUCGUAGUUGGAUCAAGAGUUGGACAGUGCACGGUGGCCCCAUUUGUGUGACUGGCUCCGGUCAGUUACACGGUGGCGGAACAACCCCGUGCGCCAAACUGUCCACUCUAACAGACCGAAGCGGUUCCCUGUGAGUAGGCUCCUUAAUUGGGGCUGAAAGCGCCUACGCAUCAACCAUAUGCAUACGGGACGUCGGUCAAUGUUACUGUGAACAAACCAGCGUGUCCAAGGCAGGCUUUCGCCUGAAUGUUCGAGCAUGGAAUAACAAGGGAUCGAUUCUCUCGGUUCUUUUUGUUGGUUUUUAACCCGAGAAGGAGAAAUUCAGGUCACGGUGUCUGAGUUGGGUUUCCCAGGGCUUCGGCUCUGGCCCCAAUUAGGCCGUGCCCUUACGGGAUCAAUAGGGACUGACGGGGUCGUACCUACUUCCGCGUCAGAGGUGAAAUUCU
rnacentral:rRNA from 1 species